rfam:Myotis brandtii contig208600, whole genome shotgun sequence.
GAGACACUACUAUGGAGCAGGGCUUGCUUUAGUGGGGCUUUUGUGCUCACCGAGUCUGCCCCUUGGGUGUGUCACU